rnacentral:misc_RNA from 1 species
AAAUGCGAUAAGUAAUGUGAAUUGCAGAAUUCAGUGAAUCAUCGAAUCUUUGAACGCACAUUGCGCCCGCCAGUAUUCUGGCGGGCAUGCCUGUCCGAGCGUCAUUUCAACCAUCAAGCCCCCGGGCUUGUGUUGGGGACCUGCGGCUGCCCGCAGGCCCUGAAAACCAGUGGCGGGCUCGCUGUCACACCGAGCGUAGUAGCAAUCACCUCGCUCAGGGCGUGCUGCGGGUUCCGGCCGUUAAACAGCCUUACAAAACCCAAGGUUGACCUCGAAUCAGGUAGGAAUACCCGCUGAACUUAAGC